AUACAGAGGGUGCGAGCGUUAAUCGGAAUUACUGGGCGUAAAGCGCGCGUAGGCGGCUACUUAAGUCAGAUGUGAAAUCCCCGGGCUCAACCUGGGAACUGCAUCUGAUACUGGGUAGCUAGAGUUUAGGAGAGGGAAGUAGAAUUUCAGGUGUAGCGGUGAAAUGCAUAGAGAUCUGAAGGAAUACCAGUGGCGAAGGCGGCUUCCUGGCCUAAAACUGACGCUGAGGUGCGAAAGCGUGGGUAGCAAACGGGAUUAGAAACCCGGGUAGUCC
rnacentral:rRNA from 1 species